rnacentral:lncRNA from 1 species
CUGUAAGGCAAUAGGUAAGUAUUCAAAGCACUGUUAGUUAUAUAAAAAUCAAAUCACUGUGAUUUAUGUGCAUAGAUCAAUGUUAUGUUAUUCAUUCUCUGUUCAUGAACUGUCUUAGGGUUUUUAUUGCUGUAAGACACCGUGACCACAGCAACUCUUAUAAAGAGCAUUUAAUUGGGGUGGUUCACUUACAGUUUCAGAGGUUCAGUCCAUUAUCAUCCUAGUGGGGGGAAUGGUGUCAUGCAGACAAAUAUGGUCUGGAGUAGUAGCUGAAAGUCUUACAUCUUGCAGGCAACAGGAAGUUGAAUGAAACACUGGGCAAUAUCUUGAGCACAGGAAACCUCAAAGACCAUCCCCACAGUGACACACUUCCUCCAAGAAGCCAUUCCCACUCCAGCAAAGCCACACCUCCUGAUAGUGCCUCUCCCUGUGAGAUUAUGAGGGCCAAUUAUGAGGGCACACAAACUACCAUUUGAACUCAACAGUGAACAUACUAAGGGAUGAGAGGCAGACACUGAUGGCUCCAGAGAUGCACAGCCAUCUACUCAUUAUCAUGGCCUCCUGUGAUGGUUCUUCCCCUGGUCUUGAUAUCCUGAUCAUGAUGAAGAAGCUGAGCUACUUCUAUGGCACCAAUAAGAAGAUGCUGCUGGUCUGGGGCCCAAAGUUUGAGAAGCAUGUAUGGAACUAUCACACCCUUUUAAAAGAUUCUGAUUCUUCAAACCUCAUGAAGAAUGCAGUCCCGCUCUUUUGUAACUCCUUUAGAUGGUCACCAACAGAAGAAUGGGCACAAACACAUAAGUUCAUGGUACCUCAGCUACCUUGUCUUGGCACAAAAUAGCACACUAAACAAUUUAAAAUAUAAUAUCAAAUGUUGUCAUCAUUUAAAAAAAUCUCCUGCCCUUGUAUUCACCACUCUACCACAUUAUUAUGUCAUCGUCUCUUCUUUGAAUUUAUAGCUCCUUGGUUCUAUCUUACAUUAUCUUGUUGUGAUGAUGUAAGAUAACCAUGCAAAUGUUUUCAAUAUUGCUUUCUAUAAAAGCGACUUGGUGACCCCAUUAUUUGAAGCCUUCUGAAUCUUGACUUUGUGUGUAACUAUUCACAAACAAAAUACAUCAAGCUUUUUUCAAAGAAGCAUCAAUAUGCUUUCUUAACCAGGAUAGUUGGAUGUUUCCAUACCCUUCUGAUAGGACAGCAGUUUUGAAGGCAAGGGUAGGUACCAUCAGUGAUUCCAGAAGCCUAUUCAGUGUUUAAUUCAUUCUUUGAGAUCAGAAACUUAAUUUGCAGUUGAGUGAGCAAUAGUUUCAACAACAUUUUAGGUAAUAUAGACUCUGAGUUUUUGGACUGUCAUAGCUGGGGAAUACAAACACCCUGAAAGACGUCAAAGUCACAGCAGUUGCGUGUCUCCCAUUAUUCCUUUAAUCUUUGGCAGACCUAUGUGUUCCAGUUACUUUAAACCCAAUUAUCCCCCAACUCCAUGGAAAUCAAUUUAUUUCCCUCUUCAACUGUUUGCACUCACUUUGGAUUAUUACAAGGAGUAGAAUUGCAUGUGAGGGAUCCAGACUGCACUCAUGGAUGCACACUUCAGUAGAUAUGAGCUUAGAGGAAUAAUGUGUUUCUGAGUCAUAUAGUAAUAAGCAGAGGCAUGUUGACUUGAACAUUACUUUUGCCAAGAAAUUUUACUACCAGAUUUUAUUUACAGAGUGUCAUCAUUUUCUAAAUAUCAUUGCCUUUUCUAAAACAUGUCUUCUGAAUGUAUAACAGUUAAUAAGAGAGGAUUUACACAUAACUAUUGACCAAAUCCUUUAGUUCAUAAAAUUAGCUACAGAAAACACUGGCCG